rnacentral:rRNA from 1 species
GAUGAACGCUGGCGGCGUGCCUAAUACAUGCAAGUCGAGCGAACAGAUAAGGAGCUUGCUCCUUUGACGUUAGCGGCGGACGGGUGAGUAACACGUGGGUAACCUACCUAUAAGACUGGAAUAACUCCGGGAAACCGGGGCUAAUGCCGGAUAACAUUUAGAACCGCAUGGUUCUAAAGUGAAAGAUGGUUUUGCUAUCACUUAUAGAUGGACCCGCGCCGUAUUAGCUAGUUGGUAAGGUAACGGCUUACCAAGGCAACGAUACGUAGCCGACCUGAGAGGGUGAUCGGCCACACUGGAACUGAGACACGGUCCAGACUCCUACGGGAGGCAGCAGUAGGGAAUUUUCAGCAAUGGGCGAAAGCCUGACGGAGCAACGCCGCGUGAGUGAUGAAGGUCUUCGGAUCGUAAAACUCUGUUAUUAGGGAAGACCAAAUGUGUAAGUAACUGUGCACGUCUUGACGGUACCUAAUCAGAAAGCCACGGCUAACUACGUG